AGCGAACGCUGGCGGCGUGCCUAACACAUGCAAGUCGAACGUGAAAAGGGAAACCUGAGUACAGUGGCGUACGGGUGAGUAACGCGUAGGUAAUCUACCCCAGAAUCUGGAAUAACCUGCCGAAAGGCGGGCUAAUACUGGAUAGAGCGAGGGAACUCGUAAGAGAGUUUUUCGGGAAAGGGAGCCCGCAAGGGCCUUCGUUCUGGGAUGAGCCUGCGUCUCAUUAGCUAGUUGGUAAGGUAACGGCUUACCAAGGCGAUGAUGAGUAGCUGGUCUGAGAGGAUGAUCAGCCACACUGGAACUGAAACACGGUCCAGACUCCUACGGGAGGCAGCAGUGGGGAAUCUUGCGCAAUGGACGAAAGUCUGACGCAGCCACGCCGCGUGAGUGAAGAAGGCCGUCGGGUUGUAAAGCUCUGUCGGAUGGGACGAACAUCUUCAUAGUGAAUAGCUAUGAGGACUGACGGUACCAUCAAAGGAAGCACCGGCUAACUCCGUG
rnacentral:rRNA from 1 species